ensembl:lncRNA
AUGAGCUCUGCGGCUUGGGCUUGUGCUGUGGUUGAGCUGGAAGUGACAUCAUUCUGGAGGGAAAUCAACAGCAGCGCAAGCGUAUACACAAACACACGCCGGUUCACGCUCUUUGCCCCGUUCCACCGCCUCCCAGAAAAGAGCCGCGGGGAAAACCAAGAAAAAGCCAAGAAGCAUCAGCGACGUGUGGAAUAGCAAAGCCGUGUCACUGCGCUCGGCAUUCUGGGAGCACUGGAGUGAGCCGAGAGAGCCUUCAUCAGACAGACAGACAGACGGACAGACAGACGCUGGGGCUUUAAAGGUGAAUUUUACCCAGAAAUCAAAUUGCUGGAUUUUCCUUGAUGUGUUGAGAAGACUUUCUGCUACGGGAUCAUGUUGUGA